rnacentral:rRNA from 1 species
GAUGAACGCUGGCGGCGUGCCUAAUACAUGCAAGUCGAGCGAAUAGACGAGGAGCUUGCUCCUCUGACGUUAGCGGCGGACGGGUGAGUAACACGUGGAUAACCUACCUAUAAGACUGGGAUAACUUCGGGAAACCGGAGCUAAUACCGGAUAAUAUAUUGAACCGCAUGGUUCAAUAGUGAAAGACGGUUUUGCUGUCACUUAUAGAUGGAUCCGCGCCGCAUUAGCUAGUUGGUAAGGUAACGGCUUACCAAGGCAACGAUGCGUAGCCGACCUGAGAGGGUGAUCCGCAACACUGGAGCUGAGACACGGUCCAGACUCCUACGGGAGGCAGCAGUAGGAAAUCUUCCGCAAUGGGCGAAAGCCUGACGGAGCAACGCCGCAUGAGUGAUGAAGGUCUUCAGAUCGUAAAACUCUGUUAUUAAGGAAGAACAAAUGUGUAAGUAACUAUGCACGUCUUGACGGUACCUAGUCAGAAAGCCACGGCUAACUACGUG